rnacentral:misc_RNA from 1 species
GGAAAUUGGGGCAAACAGACAAAAGAAUCAAAACGCCGCUUGAUGGUCUUUUUCUUCUGCUUCUAUUGUGUGUUGGAGUUCCUGAAUCAUGAGCUAAGCCACUUUUUUUUUAUGUUUUUCUUUAAAAAGGCUUCUCUUUCAACGAAGAAGAGCGCUAUAAUCCUCUCUCUCUCUCUCUCUGAUAUCUCCGCUUAUAAAAUCCUUAAUCCCUCGAUUUCGACGUCUCUGUUUGUUUUCAAUCAACGUUUACUGCCAAAUAUCAAUUCUCUUUAGAGUUUCUUUGUUAGAUUUCGCUCGCUCUUUCAAUGGCUUCUUCUGUCACAGCCUCAAUUCAUUCUUCAAUUUGUGCUUCUCGCUUGCCUUCACUCUACUUAUCGCCUAGCAGAAUUACACCAAAUCAUGUUUUGCUUAAAACUCGAUCACACCUCGCUACUCGCUUGGCUUUCUCUUCGUUGCCGGACAUUCCAAACUCUCCUUUGCCAGUUGAAUUCUCAAGCAAGCCGUUGAGACUCGCCGGUUGGAGUCAAACGAUUAGGCGACGAGGUUCUGUUGAACUUCCUGUCGUAAAAGCUGCAGCUGCUGAUGCCGAAGGACAUGUGGAGCCUGCUAAAAGCUUUGGCGAGAGAUUUCCUGCACUGGUUACGGGUUUCUUCUUCUUUAUGUGGUACUUCUUAAAUGUCGUCUUCAACAUUCUGAACAAGAAGGUCUAUAAUUAUUUCCCAUAUCCAUAUUUUGUAUCGGUCAUACAUCUCUUAGUUGGAGUGGCAUACUGUCUUGUUUCUUGGGCUGUUGGUCUACCAAAACGUGCACCGAUUGACAGGGACCUCCUGCUACUAUUGACUCCAGUUGCAUUCUGUCAUGCCCUUGGACAUGUAAUGUCUAAUGUGUCAUUUGCAGCUGUUGCUGUCUCUUUUACACACACCAUCAAAGCUCUAGAGCCAUUCUUCAAUGCUGCUGCUU